GAAAUGUUGACCACAGUUAGUCAUGCAGUCCCAAGUGUUGGGGAUCACCCGGUUCUUGGAAUUGGAACCGACAUAAAGACUAUCUUCACUGCACCCAGUGGCCUUGCAGAAAGCUCUGGGAUUUGGUGAUGUCUCUCUUUUGAAUCCAAUAUUAGUCCAUUGCAAAACUUCUGGGAAGCCCUUUUAUGCUAUUGUCCACCGGGUAACGGGUAGCUUAAUAAUUGACUUUGAACCAGUGAAGCCUUAUGAGGUCCCCAUGACAGCUGCUGGGGCCUUGCAGUCAUACAAGCUUGCAGCUAAAGCAAUUACACGGUUGCAGUCGUUGCCAAGUGGGAGCAUGGAAAGGCUUUGUGAUACAAUGGUUCAGGA
rnacentral:misc_RNA from 1 species